rnacentral:siRNA from 1 species
CUUAGGCUUUUAAGAUCGGGUUGC